CCUAGGGGAGGCAGCAGUGGGGAAUUUUGGACAAUGGGCGAAAGCCUGAUCCAGCAAUGCCGCGCGCAGGAUGAAGGCCCUCGGGUUGUAAACUGCUUUUGUACGGAACGAAAAGCCUGGGGCCAAUACCCCCGGGUCAUGACGGUACCGUAAGAAUAAGCACCGGCUAACUACGUGCCAGCAGCCGCGGUAAU
rnacentral:rRNA from 1 species